rnacentral:misc_RNA from 1 species
AGCUGACAGCUGCAGACCUG